AGUUUUCCCUGCUGCCUGACAAAGGGCAAAGCACUGUCAAUAUUUUCUGAGUGGCGAUGUGCUUCAGGGUAUUUUCCCUACUCUAGCUGAUUGUUUCUUCCCUUUCUCUUUAUUCGCCUUCCUAACAGACCUCUUCCUUAGCUUUUCCCAUGUUGCUCUUCCUUCCCUUAUGUUCUUCCGCUAGACUCUUGCUUCAAGGGCAGCAGCUCCUUGCUAGUUCAUUCAUUCUUUCCCCGUUGCCUGCACAGUUUUCUUUGCACCUUUCCUAGGCUCAUGAAAAGUCUCCUGGUUACUUAAUGACCAACCAACGAUGACUCUACCCUUCAGUCUUUUCCCUCUUAGCCUCAUCUCCUGCCCUUAUCAUCCUCGUUAAUAGCUAAUUUGUACCAGGCCUUGAAUUGAUUGUUCUUCCUGCAUCAGCUCGUUUAAUUAUUACACUGAUCCUAUGUGGUGGGCAUGCUCAGUUAGUUCCAUUACUCGAGGAACUUAGGCUUGAACCAUCACACACCACAAGCCUGAACCCCAUGGUCAACCUGCCUGAAGCCCUGAUGACAGCCAGGAGUGAACCCUGGAUGAUCCGACAUCAAAGUUCGAACCACCACAGGCAUCGCCACCUUUUCUGGGUGAGGUUGCUCAUGAAAAGGGAUCCAACAAAAAUACAAGACUGCCACCUUUGCCUCCUCAUCCAGGACAGAGCAACUCUCCCUUUCCUUCUUGCAACAAAGGAGGCAAAACACACCCUCCCACCACCAUCCCUCAACUGAGCCAAGUGACGGAGGGAAACAGACGUCUGCUUGCAACUGGCUGAUGGAGAUUAGCACCUAUCCCUGUGCCGUCACAGCAAACAGGGCUGCACUGCUGGAAAAGGGUAGCAAACUUGGCCAUCCUGUCUGCACCCGUUGUAGCUCUUCUCAGCACCUCGAGCUACCGUGUGUCAUCCCCCAGGAUCCUCUUAGAGCAAGCCCUUCUCCUGCUACCUUGCAGAGGUUAAGAAUGUAGGCGAGUUCACUAAUUCUCCAAGUGUGCUCCUAACUAGCUACAUGGGCAUCACCGGGAACUUGGUAGAUGAGCAAAUCCGUGGACCCUGGCCCGUCCCCACGGACUCAGGAUCUGUGGAAUGGGCCCAGUAAUCUGCAGUUUAACAGGCCUCCCCAGGGACUUGGAGGCACACUCACUCACAUUCAAGAACCACCAGGCUCAUCAGGCACCAUGGCUUCACCUCUCGGCUCUCUUGGCAGCCGCUGGCUCUGCGCCUCAAGCAAAUGGUUAAUCUUGCUAAAUCUCCAAAGUGUGUAACAGUAGUAUCCAACUUCAUAUGGUUACUGUGAAGAGUAAAUGAAUCAAUGCCCAUAAAACCCUUAACUUAAUCCUUGGCAGUUCAUAAGCACAUGAUAAAUUAUCACUUGACAAGAGUUCCCUUUUAUCAUUUUUAUACCAUAACAUCGGUGGGAAAUCUUAUUUAGAACCUUAUUUGUUUCGCUCCUUCACCACUACCACCUUUGAUAGCAUUGUCCUCUCCAGGCUUUGUCCCACUAAUCUUUUUUAAUAGCCUUAGAUUUUCUGCUUUAAUCAUUUAAAUUGUAUAGCUCAAUGGUAUUGAGUACAUUCAAGUUACACAAUCAUCACCACCACUUAUCCCAGAAUGUUCCCCAUCUUCCCACAUGGAAGCCCUGUACUCAUUGAACAGGAGUUCCUCAUUUCUCUGCCUCCUCCCACCCUUGGAAAUCAGCAUCCUACUUUUUGUCUUUAUGAAUUUGACCACUCUGGUCAUCUUAUAAAGGUGAAAUCAUAUUU
rnacentral:lncRNA from 1 species